rnacentral:rRNA from 1 species
UGGGGAAUAUUGCACAAUGGGCGGAAGCCUGAUGCAGCGACGCCGCGUGGGGGAUGUCGGCCUUCGGGUUGUAAACCUCUUUCAGUGCAGAACAAGGCUCUUUGUGGGUUGAGGGUAUGCGCAGAAGAAGCGUCGGCUAACUACGUGCCAGCAGCCGCGGUAAUACGUAGGGCGCGAGCGUUGUCCGGAUUUAUUGGGCGUAAAGAGCUCGUAGGCGGUUUGUCGCGUCUGCUGUGAAAUCCUCUGGCUUAACUGGGGGCGUGCAGUGGGUACGGGCAGACUGGAGUGCGGUAGGGGAGACUGGAAUUCCUGGUGUAGCGGUGGAAUGCGCAGAUAUCAGGAGGAACACCGGUGGCGGAGGCGGGUCUCUGGGCCGUUACUGACGCUGAGGAGCGAAAGCAUGGGGAGCGAACAG